AGCGGCGGACGGGUGAGCGACGCGUGGGUAACCUGCCCUGUACACACGGAUAACAUACCGAAAGGUAUGCUAAUACGAGAUAAUAUGCUUUUAUCGCAUGGUAGAAGUAUCAAAGCUCCGGCGGUACAGGAUGGACCCGCGUCUGAUUAGCUAGUUGGUAAGGUAACGGCUUACCAAGGCGACGAUCAGUAGCCGACCUGAGAGGGUGAUCGGCCACAUUGGAACUGAGACACGGUCCAAACUCCUACGGGAGGCAGCAGUGGGGAGUAUUGCACAAUGGGCGAAAGCCUGAUGCAGCAACGCCGCGUGAGCGAUGAAGGCCUUCGGGUCGUAAAGCUCUGUCCUCAAGGAAGAUAAUGACGGUACUUGAGGAGGAAGCCCCGGCUAACUACGUGCCAGCAGCCGCGGUAAUACGUAGGGGGCUAGCGUUAUCCGGAAUUACUGGGCGUAAAGGGUGCGUAGGUGGUUUCUUAAGUCAGAGGUGAAAGGCUACGGCUCAACCGUAGUAAGCCUUUGAAACUGGGAAACUUGAGUGCAGGAGAGGAGAGUGGAAUUCCUAGUGUAGCGGUGAAAUGCGUAGAUAUUAGGAGGAACACCAGUUGCGAAGGCGGCUCUCUGGACUGUAACCGACACUGAGGCACGAAAGCGUGGGGAGCAAACAGGAUUAGAUACCCUGGUAGUCCACGCCGUAAACGAUGAGUACUAGCUGU
rnacentral:rRNA from 1 species